rnacentral:rRNA from 1 species
UACAGAGGGUGCGAGCGUUUAAUCGGAAUUACUGGGCGUAAAGCGUGCGUAGACGGCUAUCUAAGUCGGGUGUGAAAGCCCCGGGCUCAACCUGGGAAUUGCAUUCGAGACUGAAUAGCUAGGGUACGGUAGAGGGAAGCGGAAUUCCGGUGUAGCGGUGAAAUGCGUAGAUAUCGGAAGGAACAUCAGUGGCGAAAGCGGCUUCCUGGACCAGUACCGACGUCAGGCACGAAAGCGUGGGGAGCAAACAGGA